AGAGUUUGAUCCUGGCUCAGGAUGAACGCUAGCUACAGGCUUAACACAUGCAAGUCGAGGGGAAACGACAUCGAAAGCUUGCUUUUGAUGGGCGUCGACCGGCGCACGGGUGAGUAACGCGUACCCAACCUGCCCACCACUUGGGGAUAACCUUGCGAAAGUAAGACUAAUACCCAAUGACGUCUCUAGGAGACAUCUGAAAGGGAUUAAAGAUUUAUCGGUGAUGGAUGGGGAUGCGUCUGAUUAGCUUGUUGGCGGGGUAACGGCCACCAAGGCUACGAUCAGUAGGGGUUCUGAGAGGAAGGUCCCCCANAUUGGAACUGGGACACGGUCCAAACUCCUACGGGAGCA
rnacentral:rRNA from 1 species